CGCGUAGGCGGCAAGGCAAGUCAGAUGUGAAAUCCCCGGGCUCAACCUGGGAAUUGCAUCUGAAACUGCAGUGCUUGAGUCCUGGAGGGGAUAGUGGAAUUCCCAGUGUAGCGGUGAAAUGCGUAGAUAUUGGGAGGAACACCUGCGGCGAAGGCGGCUAUCUGGACAGUGACCGACGCUGAUGCGCGAAAGCCAGGGGAGCGAACG
rnacentral:rRNA from 1 species